rnacentral:lncRNA from 1 species
AAAUCCAAAAUUUCAUAAUUACUUCCUUUAUUAUUAUUAUUAUUUUAUUAUUUUAUUAACUUAUUUUUUAUUAUUUAUUAUUUUAAUUAAUUAUUAUUUUAUUUGCUUUAAGUUAAUUUUUAUUUUCUUUUACUUUGAUUGAUCUUUCUUUAUCGCCGGGUGUUGAAAGAAGCUCCGUCAGCCUCCUUCACGAUCGUGUUCACAGGAAGGGAGAAUUUCUGCCGUAUUUUAUGACGGUGUUUUCGGUUAAUUCCGCAUGAAGGACGGAAAUACGCAUUAGUAACAGUGCCUCGUACACUUCCGGAUCAAUAAAAUUCUUUAUUUGAAUUUCAGCGUUUAUCUGUAAGUUGAUUAAUUUAUUGUUAUCACAAAAUUAGUUGUAUUUUAAUCACAAUCAAAUUUUUCGUUGCGGUUUUAUGCAACAGACACUACGUCAUCUAUGUGACUACUAUAUUUUAGACUACAUUUUUAUAAAGUGCGAAGUA